rnacentral:rRNA from 1 species
UGCCUUACACAUGCAAGUCGAACGCGAAAGGGGGCAACCCUGAGUAGAGUGGCGAACGGGUGAGUAAUACAUCGGAACAUACCCAGUAGUGGGGGAUAACCAGUCGAAAGACUGGCUAAUACCGCAUACGACCUACGGGUGAAAGCGGGGGACCGCAAGGCCUCGCGCUAUUGGAUUGGCCGAUGUCCGAUUAGCUUGUUGGCGGGGUAAAAGCCCACCAAGGCGACGAUCGGUAGCUGGUCUGAGAGGAUGAUCAGCCACACUGGGACUGAGACACGGCCCAGACUCCUACGGGAGGCAGCAGUGGGGAAUUUUGGACAAUGGGCGCAAGCCUGAUCCAGCCAUGCCGCGUGUGUGAAGAAGGCCUUCGGGUUGUAAAGCAC